GCCCACGCUAGCUGGGCUAAAGGAGGGGUAAUAAUUCCGCUCCUCUCAGCAGUAAUGGUGACUUGGCUGCGCUUGAUGGGAGCUCAAUGUUGUGUUGUGGCCAUCAAACACGACUUCUGAGCAAUUUCCGAAGAAGAGAUUUGUUUUUUGUUUAGAACUGCGGCGGCUCGGGUAACAAUCCCUGCCAGUGUAGUGGAUUUUUAUAGCUGAAUGCGCUGUGGAGACCUGUUGCUCGCCUGCCUCGCCGCCGCAUAGUCAACUAGCUACGUUAACGUUACUAUCCAAGAUGUUGCUUUGUGGAUGGGAUGGCCUCUGGUCCCGUUUGUGUGUGCACUUAUAGCCUCGUCGGAGUACGAACAUUUCCCUUUCAAGUGAUUGUGUAGCUCUUCUCCACUGGGAAGAUGCAUGUGUCUCUGGCAGAAGCCUUGGAGGUUCGAGGCGGUCCGCUCCAGGAAGAGGAGGUCUGGGCGGUGCUCAGUCAGAGUGCUGAGAGCCUCCAAGAACUCUUUCACAAAGACCCUACAGCCAUGGGCUUCAUCAUUUCUCCUUGGUCCCUCCUACUCAUGCCCUCCGGCAACAUCUCAUUCACAGACGAGUAUGUCACCCAGCAGGACUUAAGAGCCUUCACAGCUCCAGAGGUCCUGGAAGGGGUCUCCUUGACUUCCAUCUCUGAUAUAGAGAAGAUGCACAUGUACUCUCUGGGGAUGACUCUGUUCUGGGGAGCGGACUAUGAGAUCCCCCAAAGUCAGCCUAUGAAGUUGGGGGAACACCUAAACAGCCUGCUUCUCAACAUGUGUGAUGAUGUUACAUUGAGUCGAAUGUCGUUGCGCACGGUGCUGGACAUCUGCAGCAAACACAUUAGAAACUCCAGUUGUGACCCUCCCUUCUCCUAUAUCAGAAAACUGGUCCGGUUGGUACUGGGCAGCCUUUCCCAGCUGGACGGUCUGCUGACUGAUAGAGAGUCUCUUCCGGAGCGGAGUAAGGAGAUUCGGGAGAGGCUGCGGGGCAAGGGCUUGCCUUCAGGGAGGAGUGCCGCCCCCAGGGUUCUGGAGCGUUACAAAGCCAGGAGUCAGGAGCAGACGUCUCUUAACAGGGGCCUUAGUCGUUCCAUGGGAUCUCUGCCAAUCCAGGACCUGUUGAAGGGGGAUGAUGGGGCAGCCCUACAGUAUUCCCCAUCUGACUAUCGCCCUAACUCUGAAUCCCCUACAGAAUUAUACCCAAAUCCCCCAUCACUCAAGCACCAGCACUCCUAUCCCUAUCUGCAUCCUCUUCACCCCCAGCAAAAGGGCCGGCCUGUGGAACUGGACCGGAGGUCUUUAGCCUUCCACAGUGGUGACGUGGGUCCUAGUCAUGCAAGGAAGAACUGGGCUUCCUCUGUGGACUUGGCUUACAUUGACCCAGAGGCUCUUCGUUUUGGGGCUUUGGAGGAUGCGCGGAGGGGCAGCAGCGCCAUAAGUACCCACUCCAUAGGCAGGCGCAAAUCGCCCCUGCUGGCAUCCAGGGAGAGGGAGUCUCGCUUUUCUGAGUUUGGUGGGCUGAAGAGUAGGAAGCCUCAUCACCACUCAGCCCUGUUGGUAGGUUCGGGCCUCACCAGCGCGUAUGACAGGAUAAAGGAGAGGCAGAGGAAACUUCAGGUGCUAAGGCAAGCAGUGGAUGACCCAAUCCAUACCCACCAGAGGUACCCCAGCGAUUACAGUUCAUCCAGCGAAAGCCCCUCUGUGGCCUCCUCUGAUCCAGACUACAGACAAGCUAAGAAACCAGGCGAUGUGAGGAGGUAUAGCUCCCAGCUGGCACUUUCCUCUGAACAUGAUGCCCCCUCGCUGACAGGUCACAACACGCACAGGUAUAGGCUGUAUGAGGGGGCAGCUGAUGGAGGUCUGGUCGGAGCAGAGCUACUCCUGCAGAGGCAGGAGGAAGAGGUGCAGCGGCUCCAGGCCCACCUGGCCAGCAGGCUGUCCAGGGCCAACCUCUACCCCGCAGACGACCCCCUGGCCCUAUCUCGAACUUCCAUGCUCGACCUUCGAGACCCCCUUCACACCUCUUCUGUACCAUUUCGCAAACCCAAGAACUUCCACGGGCCUGAGUUUGUGAAGAUGGCGAGUGAGCCUUGUGUUGCCUUAUCUGUUCCCUCUUCAAUAAUGAAACGUGGUAAGUUGGAGGAAGUGCAAAGGAAGGUUGGUGUGGUGCUGCUGAGUGGCCAAAAGCUGGAGCUGAGCUGUGACAUCAAGGCAGUUUGUAAAGACGUUCUUGACAUGGUGGUUGCCCACAUCGGCCUUGUGGAGCACCAUCUCUUCAUCCUAGCAUACCUCAGAGAUAAUGAGUUUUUCUUCGUCGAUCCUGAUGCCAAACUGUCCAAAGUGGCCCCAGAGGGAUGGAAGGAGGAUCCCAAGAAGAAGAAAUCUGAUGUGCCUUUUAAUCUUUUCUUACGCAUCAAAUUCUUUCUUGAUGACGUCAACCUCAUACAGCAUGCAAUGACCAAACAUCAGUACUACUUACAGCUGAGGAAGGAUAUCUUGGAGGAGAGGAUGCGCUGUGACACAGAAAAUGCCAUGCUGUUGGCUUCACUGGCACUGCAGGCUGAAUUCAGUGACUACCAACCUGAGCUCCACGGGAAGACCUACUUCAGACUGGAGCACUACCUCCCGGUGUCUGUCCUGGAUAAGGUGGACCAGGCGACCAUCAAGGAGGAGCUGCCGAAACUUCACAGCAACUACUAUGGAGCAUCGGACUCUGAGGCGGAGUUUGAGUUUCUCAAGGUGAGCCAGAGGCUGACAGAGUAUGGUGUCCAUUUCCAUCGGGUGCUUCCUGAGAAGCGGUCCCAGACGGGCAUCAUGCUAGGUGUCUACUCCAAGGGGGUGCUCAUCUUUGAGGUGCUUAAUGGAAAUCGUACCCCGGUGCUAAGGUUCCCCUGGAGGGAGACGAAAAAGAUUUCCUUCAUAAAAAAGAAGAUUUGCCUCCAGAACACAUCCGAUGGGAUUAAGCACCUGUUUCAGACAGACAGCAACAAGACCUGUCAGUAUUUGCUACAGCUCUGCUCUGAUCAGCACAAGUUCCACCUGCAGACAAAGGCCCGCCAAAAUAACCAGGAGCUUCAAGAACUAGAGAACUGCCCCUUGAGCUGUUUGCAAUAUUCCCUUGACGCUCGGAGUGGAGGAGCAGCUGGGAGGACAUUGAGCUCAGGCAGCCUGGCCCCCAGCUUAUCGACGCGCUCCAACCCAGACCACCUGAAGAGGAUCUCCUACUCGGAGCUGGCCCUCCACAAGGCACCAUCUGGCCCAAUAUUGGUCCAAGAUGAGCUUCACUUUCCAGGUUUCAAUCCAGUGGCCUCCACGGCCCUUACCAAUCCGCGGGUAAUGAGCCGCUCCCACCACAACCUCGCACAGAUGCCAGAGUCUCCAGAGCACCGGGUGGCGGAGUCGUAUCGUGGCCAGUCGCACAGCGGACUGAGUCAGGUACAGCCCAACCAAGUGGCCCCACACUUCCAGCAACACCAGCGAGCCAGCUCAGACACAGAUUCCCUCUCACACCAACAGGACAAAUCUUUCGGCACAGUGUCCUACAGCAACUCGGCCUGGAAUCUCAGCAAGUCCAAAAAAGAAUCUGACUCUUCUUCCACAGAGGAUACUGGCCAAGCAUAUGUAGUAGGUGUCAGUAUGCACAGUUCCUCAGGACCACCUUCAACCCCAGCCUCUGUCAAUGAUUCACUCAAGAAAAAGCUAAUUGCCUUACCAUCUCCAGAGAGAGAAAUCACAACGGUAAACCUGAAGAAAGAUGUGAAAUAUGGCCUGGGGUUCCAGGUUGUUGGAGGGGAGAACUCUGGUCGUAUGGACCUUGGCACCAUCAUUAGCUCCAUCACUCCUGGGGGUCCUGCUGAUGUCAACGGCUGCCUCAAACCUGGUGACCGGCUGAUCUCAGUGAAUGAUGUGAGCCUAGAAGGGCUCUCUCAUGCCACCACGAUUGACAUCCUCCAAAAUGCUCCUGAUGAUGUUACUCUGGUGGUGUUACAGCCCAAAGAGAGGCUCUACAAAGAAUCUUCUUCAGGCUAUGCUCCCUACCAAGCCAAGUCUGCAUUGAAGGCACUUAACUCUGGCCAGAGACGAGAACUAGACUUUGAUACCUCAUCAGAGGAGCAGGCGGGAACAGGAAGCCCCAGCCCUCCCCUCCACAGCACUGGCACACCGUCAUCCACCUCCUCCCCAGUCCACCAGCACACCAGUCUCAGUUCUCAGGACUCCAGGGCAAGCAGUGGUGCUAAGAUUAGCCCACCCCCUGCUAAUGGAGUUCAGUAUUGCCUAGAAAGAGCUAAAGCUGCUGCCACAGCGGCUGCCACAUCUACAACCAGUGCCCAACAUCACAGAGCAGAACCUAACGUGGGUUUGGAUCCUACGCCACCGGCUCUGCCACCCAAAACUAGAAAAGCUAAAGUGUCAGAAGCUCCCAAAGUGUCCGAGCACUCUGACUGGGGGGAUUCAGACAUGGAUGAGGAGACGUAUUCCAGUAGUCAAGAGAAACUCAAAGUCAAAAAGGAAUACAUCAUGGAAAAUGUUAAUGGUAAUGCCCCAGGGGUCAAUAGUCUCAGUCCAGGAGAACUAUUUGAUGUUGAGCUGUCUAAAAAAGACAGCAGCCUGGGCAUAAGUGUCACGGUACUGUUCGGCAAGGGAGGAGUCAACACGACUGUUCGACAUGGAGGCAUCUACGUCAAAGCCAUCAUACCAAAAGGAGCUGCUGAGCUCGAUGGAAAGAUACAGAAAGGUGAUCGUGUGGUAGCUGUCAAUGGAAAAACUCUGGAGGGAGCCACUCAUCAGCAAGCAGUAGAAGCUCUCCGAGACACUGGGCAGACAGUGCACUUGUUGUUGGAAAAGGGCCAUCCCCUUGCAGACAGUGUCCAUGCUCCACUCACGCCUCAGUGCACUCGACUAACUGCUGGCAGUGACCAAGACCAGACCAAGUAUAAAAAGCAGCCACUUGAGGUCAAAGAAAAACCAGAGUACAGCUUUGUUACACAAGACAAUAUGUUUGAGGUGUGUCUGCUGAAGAAUACAUCAGGGCUGGGCUUCAGUUUCAGUCGAGAGGAGAACAUCCCUGACGAACCCCCCAGCUCCAGCAUGGUGCGGGUUAAAAAGCUGUUUCCUGGCCAACCAGCUGCAGAGAGCGCUCGCAUCAACGUGGGCGAUGUCAUCCUGCGGGUCAAUCAGACCUCCCUUAAAGGACUCUCGCAACAUGAGGUGAUAUCAGCAUUGCGAGGAACAGGACAGGAGGUGACUUUGCUCCUGUGUAGACCUGAAUAUGGGCUUCUACCUGAAAUGGACACUUCAGCUUUGACGCCCAUGCCAUCACCCCGAAAGGAGCAAGUGUCCCAGGCAGAGUCCAGCCUGAGCUUCGACAGGGCAACCUCUCCUCCGGGUACACAAGGCAAGAGGAGUCACGGCCCCGUGGAGGACGCCCUAGAGAGGCUGCUGCUUAAAACCCCCGGCCGACACAACAGCUACAGCGACAGCACCGAUGGGGAUGGGGAUGAGGAGGUGGAAGAAGCCUUCGGCCCGAGCCCUGUGGAGCAUAGCAGGCAAACUUGGGAGCGGAGUGUCUACCACACCCCCAGCAACAACCUAGGAUUGGGACGCUACGAGAGCACUUGUCAGCUGGACGACACCAUCAACUUAGCCUUCUACUCCCCAAACCUGUCAAUGACACAGUCGGACCUCAGCAAGAGGUCUCUUUCAUCCCCCCUGACAGAUGAUCUGGAGUCCUCCCUCACUGCCCCAAGCCCUGAUCCCCUGCCUCCCCCACUGCCUCUGCCCUUAAACCUCACCGUGUCAGGCAAUGGGCAGGACAUGGAGGAAUUUGUCCCUGAAGUAGAGCUCAAGGUCUCCUUGGUGAAGUCCGAGAAAGGCAGCCUGGGGUUUACCCUCACCAAAGGUAAUGAUCAAGGAUGUUACAUCCAUGACAUCGUCCAGGAUCCAGCCAGAAGAGAUGGAAGGCUCAGGCCCGGCGACCGGAUGAUCAUGGUAAACAACACAGAUGUGAGCAAUAUGGGCCACACCGAGGUGGUCAAUCUUGUGCGUGCAGCCCCCUGUGUAGUUGACUUGGUGGUAGGCAGGGUCUUGGAGGCUCCUAAGCCCCCCAUUGAAGCCCACCUGCUGCCUGACAUUGGCUUUAAGGGCAGUCAAGAACCACUGGGUUUGGUACUGGAUGGUGGCAGUGACAGUGUGUACAAUGUCUUGUUUGUGAAAGACAUCCUGCCAGGUUCAAUGGCCUUUGAGGAGGGCAGCCUGAGACCACUUGAUCUAAUCCACUACAUCAACGGCGCUCCCACGCAGGACCUGACUCUCAGUGAGAGCACCAGACUGUUGGAGCUCUACCUCGACAACCUUACACUCAAGGCCACACGGGAUGGAAAGCCUGUUUCUCCCGGGCAGAAAAGUGUCUCUUUCCUUAACAACAACAUAAGCCCCAAUGUUUCAUCCAGCAUGAACGGUUUUCUUAAAGGAGAAGAUCCAAGAGAUACAGAGUGUCUUGCAGCACUUUGUCCUUUAGAGGAGGAGAUCAUCAAGCUGGAUCUGGAGAAGCUGCAGUCAGGAGGUCUGGGUUUCUCUGUGAUUGGAGGGGAAAGGGGGAUCUUUGUCAAAUCCAUCACACCAGGAGGAAUAGCAGAGUCCUCGGCCAAACUGCAAGUGGGAGACAGGCUGCUGAAAGUGAAUGAAGAACUAAUGACAGGUGUGUCCCACACCAAAGCUGUCACCACCAUCCGUAAAGCUAAAGGCCUGGUACAUCUUAUAGUUUCCAGACCGCCAGACCAGAACCCAAACACAUACCUGGCCUAUCUGCCCAUCAACUCUGACAAGUGCAAUGGAAACACAGAUCUGAGUGAGGACAGUGGAGCGAAGACUAAGCUGUUUACUCUCCAUGAUGAGCUGAAAUCUGGCGGCUUCCCUUCCAUACCACCAAUAGACUAUGAAGAUGAUCCACUAGGACAGAAAAGAGAGACAGAGCACAGCGCAGAGCUUUCAGAGGACACAGACUGCGAUGGCUCUUCUUUACCUGAAGACUCCCCUGAGAGUUCCCGGAAAGUGGAAUGGCAAGAGGAGAAUGCUGACGAUCCAAGGAAUGAAAACUAUCUGCAAAUGAGUGCUGGACAGCCAGAGGAAGAUGAAAUCACAUGGGGAAGUGAUGAACUGCCUAUUGAAAACAUGAACUCUGAGAGCAAUGGGGCAAUCAUCACAGAGGAUGAGUUGACCUCUUUGCCCCUCGUCAAAGUGGUCCCUGAUGGCCAGUACACUGGACCAAAGCUCAACACUGUGGUCCGCAUGAUGAGGGGGCUUCUGGAGCAGAAAGUCCCUCUGCAGGAGUUUGAAAAUCUUCAGAAUCUGCAGCCACUGGACGACUGUUUGAUCGGUCAGACGAAGGAAAACAAGAAGAAGAAUCGCUACAAGAAUAUUGUUCCCUUUGACACAACGCGAGUUUUGCUGGGCAAAGACGGCGGCUACAUCAAUGCCAACUUCAUCAAGAUGUCAGUGAAGGAUGAGAACUAUAUGUACAUUGCAUGUCAGGGUCCCUUACCCACCACUCUGGGUGACUUUUGGCAAAUGGUCUGGGAGCAGAAAUCCAAUGUGAUCGCCAUGAUGACCCAGGAGGUAGAGGGAGGGAAAGUGAAAUGUCAGCGGUACUGGCCCGACACGCCGAGGACUGCUGAGAUGGUGGACGACAGGUUACAGAUCACACUGAUCAAAGACCAAUAUCUCGACAACUUUGCCAUCCGACUCAUUGAGGUUAAAGAUGUCCAGACCAAUGAAAUACAGCGUGUAACUCAUCUGAACUACACGGGAUGGCCGGACCACGGGACACCCUCACAACCCGAGCAGUUGCUCACAUUUAUUUCCUACAUGAGGCACGUUCAUCGAUCGGGGCCCAUAAUCACACACUGCAGUGCAGGCAUCGGUCGAUCAGGAACCCUCAUCUGUAUAGACGUGGUUCUGGGUCUCAUCAGUAAAGAUGCUGAUUUUGAUAUUUCAGAUGUGGUAAGGACCAUGAGACUUCAGAGACAGGGAAUGGUCCAGACAGAGGACCAAUAUAUUUUCUGCUAUCAAGUGAUCCUCUAUGUCCUCAGAUGCCUUCAAGCUGAGGAAAACAUCUCAGGAUAGUAGAAACCAGAUACCACCAUCAUGUAGAGGCUGGGUGACUGUUUCAUGAAAGCAAAACAAAAAUGGAGAGUUGACACAGGCAGAAAUUGCCAAAUUACACUACAUGUUUUUAAAAUGCCUUAAACUAUUCAGUUACUUGAGAGUAAAUCCUUUACAGAAGUCUAUAUUUUUAUGUUUGCUUUUUGAGUUCUCUCUUUCUUUGGCUGCUACUCCUUUUUCAAUGCAUUUAUGAGAACUGCUGAUUGUAUUUCUUAUUGUCACAUACAAGAGAACACUAAUGGGUUUUUUUUUUUCUCCAGAUUCUUGGAUAUUCUAAAAUAAUUAUAAAAGUGAUCAAUGAUUUCAUAUUUUAUGUGGAACAAAAUUUUACUUUGUGUAUUUUAAGUCCUAUUUUGAUGCUGGAACAUGCCUUGACAGAAUACUAUGUCAGUAUUUACUUUGUAAAGCUAUUAUACAGUAAUUGCUCACUGCCUGAGGUAAAUGAUGAGAUUUAAAGUGUACAUAUUCAUCUCCUGAAAAUUAAACUGAUACAUUUUAAAUGUUAUGUGGAGAAAAGUUUAUUUAAAAAAAAAUCAAAUAUUUUCUUUUAUAAUUUUAGUGCAUAUCGUCAUGAAGCAUACUUUUGAAAACACCUUAUUGUUAUCAUUCACUCUAUGUAAAAGGUUGGCAUCUCAUUCUAAUUUAUAGGGAUAUUAACCUAAUACAGCUGUUCCAAGCUUGCUGACUAUUAAAACCACUGAAAGGUACAAGGAAGAGAA